AGUGAACGCUGGCGGUAGGCCUAACACAUGCAAGUCGAACGGCAGCACAGUAAGAGCUUGCUCUUACGGGUGGCGAGUGGCGGACGGGUGAGGAAUACAUCGGAAUCUACUUUUUCGUGGGGGAUAACGUAGGGAAACUUACGCUAAUACCGCAUACGACCUACGGGUGAAAGCAGGGGAUCUUCGGACCUUGCGUGAUUGAAUGAGCCGAUGUCGGAUUAGCUAGUUGGCGGGGUAAAGGCCCACCAAGGCGACGAUCCGUAGCUGGUCUGAGAGGAUGGUCAGCCACACUGGAACUGAGCCAGGGCCCAGACUCCUGCGGGAGGCAGCAGUGGGGAAUAUUGGGCAAUGGGCGCAAGCGUGAUACAGGCAUACCGCGGGGGGGAAGAAGGACUUCGGGUUGUAAAGCCAUUUUGUUGGGAAAGAAAAGCAGCAGGUUAAUACCCCGCUGUUCUGACGGUACCCAAAGAAUAAGCACCGGCUAACUUCGUG
rnacentral:rRNA from 1 species